rnacentral:lncRNA from 1 species
GAGCCUGGACAACGCACACACGAGAACUAACCGUUUUUGUUAACGCUAACGUGGUCAUCGAUAAUUUGAAAGCCAAAAAGAAGGUAUCGAUCAAAUCUGCAACGUACAAGUACAAUGUCAAAUUUUGAAAAUACGUAAAUUAAUAUAUCAGAGCACAGCAUCAUUCGCGUAUAUUCGGUCUUCGUCUUUCUCUUAUGAGUUUACAAAAAAAUGGGGGGGGAGCUGGUUAUGGUAGGAAAACGCAGUUUAAUUUACAACACACGGACAUUGUAUUGAUAACAAUUUUUUGACUGUAAUAACAAUUUUUUUGACAUGUUACGUAUAUAUUUACUGAUCAAUGCAUGUAUAUAUUCAGACAAAACAAACGGUAACCUACAUCAACUCACAGUAGAAGAAAUCUCAAGAAACUCAUGCUUCAAAUCUGUCUAGGAAAAGAUGUGGCGAUCCCAGUUCCUUUUAGAUAAAGAUCUCUGAGAGCUUUCC